UGUUGUCUGAUUCGCAAGCCACCAAUUCAAACAACCAUACAGGCACCUUGAUCAUUCAAUUUCUAGCCACAUAUUCUACCUAUACUUUAUUAUAAAAACCUCCACCCAACCAUUUUAAUCAGAUUUUUGCACAUACAAGCUCAAGAACAAAGAUUUUGGUACUAUACCCAGAAAGUCAGCGCAAAUGGAUCUCGGAAUCUAGGCCUAACGAGUAAUACGCGGAAAGGUGUGGAUUAGCAUACUUUGAUAGCCUAGUACUUGUGCAACCUGUAACCAGGACACUACGUGACGACCCCCUUUGUGUUAGCUGCUUGUGAAGUUUAUGUGCGAUACUAUGUGGAUCUGCUACUUUGCUAAAUAAAACGGUUCAUGGAAACUCGCGUAGUAUCUAGCUAAAAUAUGUAACAGUAAUGUGUAAUAGCGAUACGUAAAACAAUGAUGUAUCAUAUUGUUUAAUUAAUGUUUAAUAGAGUAUCUUUAUAACAA